AAGUAAAAUUCCAUGGAGGACCGAACCGACCUCCGUUGAAAAGGCGGCGGAUGAACUGUGGGUAGCGGAGAAAUUCCAAUCGAACCCGGAGAUAGCUGGUUCUCCCCGAAAUAGUUUUAGGACUAGCCUCAAGUUAGAUACCUGGAGGUAAAGCACUGAAUAGCCUAGCGGCCGAGAGGUUAGCGAAGCUUAUCAAACUCAGAAUGCCAGAGUAUUGAUGCUUGGGAGUCAGACAGUGUCAGAUAAAUGUCAUUGUCAAAAGGGAAACAGCCCAGAUCUACAGCUAAGGUCCCAAAGUUAGGUUAAGUGGAAAACGAUGUGAAGAUACGCAGACAACCAGGAUGUUGGCUCAGAAGCAGCCACUCAUUCAAAGAGUGCGUAAUAGCUCACUGGUCGAGCGUCUUUGCGCGGAGAAUUUAACGGGGCUAAACCUGACACCGAAGCUUAGGCAAUACAGCAAUGUAUUGGGUAGGGGAGCGUUGUAUACGCGGUGAAACAGUAGCGCAAGCGGCUGUGGAGUGUAUAGAAGUGAGAAUGCCGGAAUGAGUAGCGCGAAUGCAGUGAGAAUCUGCAUGGCCGAAAGCCUCAGGUUUUUGGAGGAAGGUUCGUCCGCUCCAAGUUAGUCGGGAGCUAAGGUGAGGCCGAGAGGCGUAGCCGAUGCACAGACGGUAGAGAUUCCGUCACCACCGAAAGAGUUAAGCACAGGGACACAUUUGAAGUCUCAGAGCCGGGUGUUGGUUCCGGUAGAGAUCGAGGGAAGUUAGUACCGAAGUCUGAGAUGGAAGAUGGCGAGAAAAGCUGUGUGGAUUUCUGAGGUGCCCGUACCGCAAACCGACACAGGUAGGUAGGAAGAAGAUUCUAAGGCCAACGGGAGAAGGGUUGUUAAGGAACUCGGCAAAUUGACCCCGUAACUUCGGGAGAAGGGGUGCUCCAGAGAUGGAGCCGCAGAGAAUCGGCCCAAGCAACUGUUUACCAAAAACACAGGUUUGUGCUAAAUCGAAAGAUGACGUAUACGAGCUGACGCCUGCCCGGUGCUGGAAGGUUAAGAGGAGAUGUGCAAGCAUUGAAUCGAAGCCCCAGUGAACGGCGGCCGUAACUAUAACGGUCCUAAGGUAGCGAAAUUCCUUGUCAGGUAAGUUCUGACCCGCAUGAAAGGCGUAAUGAUUUGGGCACUGUCUCAACAGCCCGCCCGGCGAAAUUGUAGUACCGGUGAAGAUGCCGGUUACCCGCGACAAGACGGAAAGACCCCAUGGAGCUUUACUGUAGCCUAAUAUUGGGUUUCGAUGUUGCAUGCACAGGAUAGAUGGGACACAGGGAAACAAGUGCUUUGGCAUUUGUGGAGUGGCCGUUGGGAUACCAUCCUUGCGAUAUUGGAAUUCUAACCUGCGCCUUUGAAUCAAGGCGGGGGACAUUGUUAGGUGGGCAGUUUGACUGGGGCGGUCGCCUCCUAAAGAGUAACGGAGGCGUUCAAAGGUUCGCUCAGCUUGAACGGAAAUCAAGCAAAAGAGUGCAAACGCAGAAGCGAGCCUAACUGCGAGACUGACGGGUCGAGCAGUAACGAAAGUUGGAGUUAGUGAUCCGGUGGUAUGUGAGUGGAAAUGCCAUCGCUCAACGGAUAAAAGUUACCCUGGGGAUAACAGGCUGAUCUCCCCCAAGAGUCCACAUCGACGGGGAGGUUUGGCACCUCGAUGUCGGCUCAUCGCAUCCUGGGGCUGUAUUCGGUCCCAAGGGUUUGGCUGUUCGCCAAUUAAAGCGGUACGCGAGCUGGGUUCAGAACGUCGUGAGACAGUUCGGUCCCUAU
rnacentral:rRNA from 1 species